rnacentral:rRNA from 1 species
GAGUUUGAUCCUGGCUCAGAACGAACGCUGGCGGCGCGCUUAACACAUGCAAGUCGAACGAGAAGCUGUAGCAAUACAGUUGUAAAGUGGCAAACGGGUGAGUAAUGCGUGGGUAAUCUACCCUAGGGUGGGGAAUAACUCCUCGAAAGGGGAGCUAAUGCCGACAUGUGCGCCACUCUCGCAAGGGAGUGAUGGAAAGCCGUACCGUGGGUGCGGCGCCCAAGGAUGAGCUCACGUCCUAUCAGCUUGUUGGCGGGGUAACGGCCCACCAAGGCUGCGACGGGUAGCUGGUCUGAGAGGACGACCAGCCACACUGGCACUGCGACACGGGCCAGACUCCUACGGGAGGCAGCAGUGAGGAAUAUUGCGCAAUGGACGACAGUCUGACGCAGCGACGCCGCGUGGGGGAUGAAGGCCUUCGGGUUGUAAACCCCUUUCAGGAGGGAAGAUGGGACGGGUAACCGUUCGGACGGUACCUCCAGAAGCAGCCACGGCUAACUCUGUGCCAGCAGCCGCGGUAAGACAGAGGUGGCAAGCGUUGUUCGGAUUUACUGGGCGUAAAGAGUGCGUAGGUGGUGAGGUAAGAUCUGUGGGAAAGACCUGGGCUUGACCCAGGAAGGUCGCAGAUGACUGCCUCGCUUGAGGACGG